UGGUCAUUGUUUUCUGUCUUCUGUCCAUGCUCCUGUUCAUGCUUCUGUCCCAGUUUGUCUUUCCCCUUUUAUACCCCAACCUGACACCUAUUGCAAAUGGCAGUAAGAAAAUCUUCGGCGCUGGAAGAGGAAACGUUAGUUCUGGAUUAUGCGUGGCGAACCUGAAGACGAUCACUGCCCAAGACGUCUUUCUACCAUUCAACACUACCUGAGGGAGGACUGGAAGAAGACAGGAUAAGACACCCGUCUCCAUGACAACAGCAGGAUGGGGAGUGGUUGACUCUGUCUUUACCUCACUGAUGCUGGGGGCUCAAACACAGACACAGAUGACGGACAGUUUUUGCCUGAUGUUUACCUUUUUAAUGUAAAGGUGGCGACCAUGUUAUCAUCAACAUCAUGGCUGAUGUUAAUAUUCACCCAGACACAAUUUUUAAACUUCCAUUACUUCCUUGGUGUUUUUGUCUACAUAUGUGUAUAAAAAAGUGUCUAUAUAUUGUAUGUUUUUGCAGCAUGAAGGAUGUUACAAACCUGAACCAUGAAACUUGACCCACAUUUUCUGCAGAAAAAGGACUUCUUUGUAAGUCUUUGUAACAUCUAACCAACUUGUCAUUUCUGUAAAAUGUCACACAAAAUGCCAAUUUCUAAUCAAAGACAAACAAUUUUGCAGUAGUGAGGAUUAAAGUCAGAAAAAAGUGAAAUAUACUCUACAUACAAAACAAUAAACAAUAUAAAAUGACAUAAAAACAUUCAAAAAAGUUUCGAAAACAGCAAAAAAACCAAAACAUCUAUGUGAGAGUCGUCACUUCAGUGAUUUAUUACAGUUUCACUGACUGUCCUCAGACAAGUAAAAACUGUCUUAGUAAGUAGAAAUAUAUGCCA